rnacentral:rRNA from 1 species
GCGGGCAUGAGUGGACUGCGGCUUACAUUAGGCCGAGUGAACGAGAAAUCGUUUGCUAGUGGAAUUUACAAGGUUUCUUUUUCCGAAAGAGAGGGGUAAACGACGGAACAAAGAAUCAGUGCACCUGUAAUUCUGCGACACCAUCAAAUUGCGGGAAAACCCUGCGAAGAUGUUACAACCAAAUGCGCGGUGAAAGCCGGAAAAAUCAAGAGUAUUGACCCCUUCAUUUAAGGGCGAACUGCUUGCGCAUGGCCGGGGUAAUGACCUAGGGUAUGGUAAAAUCGUAACAUCUUGGGCAAUCCGCAGCCAAGUCCCUUAACUCAUACAUUACAUGAGCGGGAUGCAGUUCACAGACUAAAUGGUGGUGGGCAUUAGGCAUACAUCUAAUGCUUAAGAUAUAGUCGGGCCUUCUCCGAAAGGAGACCUGAGGAAGAGAUGGAAUGCACGCAUCAGAGCCUCGGGGACAUUGUGUUUCUAGUAACGAGAGUUACUCCGGAAAAACGAUGUUUGGAUCAACCGUAAUUUGACUCAACACGGGAAAACUCACAAGGAUAUGAUACAUAUAUGAAGGACGGAUUGAAGAUCUUUCCUGAUUAUGUUAGUGGUGGUGCAAGGCCGUUCGUAGUUCGUGGAGCGAUCUGUCUGGUUUAUUCCGUUAACGAGCGAGAUCCCGAAAGCCAGUUGUAGCACCGAGAUUUCCACUGUUAUCAGGUCCCAGCUAUACGGAGCCAUUUGGUUCCUCAAGUUGCGGUUCUCGGCCUGGAAAGAAUAAAAUUAUUCUUGUGUAGGAACUUUCAUGAUCAUACAUGAAAAUGUCUUGAAAUUGGGGUAAUAACAGGUCAGUAAUGCCCUUAGAUGUCCUUGGCCGCACGCGCGUUACAAUGACAUGUACAGAAAGGUUACCAUACUUUAUAAGUACGGUUAUUCCUGCCUGAAAGGUGAGGUAAUCACUACGUCAUGUCUUGGUUGGGCUUGCAUUCUUGGAACUAUGGGACAUAAAAUCGGAAUUUUAGUAUUUGCCAGUCAUAAUUGGCAAAAGAAUGAGUCCCUGCUUUUGGUACACUCCGGCCGUCCCUCCCUACGAUAAGAAA